CGAAAAGCUACGGGGAGCUGGCAAACAAGCUUUGAUCCGUAGAUGUCCGAAUGGGGAAACCCACUCCUUUUGGAGUAUCCAUGGCUGAAUACAUAGGCCAUGUGAAGCGAACGCGGUGAACUGAAACAUCUAAGUAACCGCAGGAAAAGAAAUCAACCGAGAUUCCCAAAGUAGUGGCGAGCGAAAUGGGAUGAGCCUUGCACUCUUUAUUUGUAUUGUUAGCCGAACGCUCUGGAAAGUGCGGCCAUAGCAGGUGAUAGCCCUGUAGGCGAAAACAGUAUGAAAGAACUAGGUGUGCGACAAGUAGGGCGGGACACGUGAAAUCCUGUCUGAAGAUGGGGGGACCAUCCUCCAAGGCUAAAUACUCGUGAUCGACCGAUAGUGAACCAGUACCGUGAGGGAAAGGCGAAAAGAACCCCGGGAGGGGAGUGAAAUAGAUCCUGAAACCGCAUGCAUACAAACAGUCGGAGCCUCGUAAGGGGUGACGGCGUACCUUUUGUAUAAUGGGUCAGCGACUUACGUUCAGUAGCAAGCUUAACCGUAUAGGGCAGGCGUAGCGAAAGCGAGUCCGAAUAGGGCGUUCAGUUGCUGGGCGUAGACCCGAAACCAGGUGAUCUAUCCAUGGCCAGGAUGAAGGUGCGGUAACACGUACUGGAGGUCCGAACCCACUAACGUUGAAAAGUUAGGGGAUGAGCUGUGGAUAGGGGUGAAAGGCUAAACAAACCUGGAAAUAGCUGGUUCUCUCCGAAAACUAUUUAGGUAGUGCCUCGUGUCUCACCUUCGGGGGUAGAGCACUGUCAUGGUUGGGGGGUCUAUUGCAGAUUACCCCGCCAUAGCAAACUCCGAAUACCGAAGAGUGCAAUCACGGGAGACAGACAUCGGGUGCUAACGUCCGGUGUCAAGAGGGAAACAACCCAGACCGCCAGCUAAGGUCCCCAAAUAUAGCUAAGUGGGAAACGAAGUGGGAAGGCUAAAACAGUCAGGAGGUUGGCUUAGAAGCAGCCACCCUUUAAAGAAAGCGUAAUAGCUCACUGAUCGAGUCGUCCUGCGCGGAAGAUGUAACGGGGCUAAGCUAUAUACCGAAGCUGCGGAUGCGAGCUUGCUCGCAUGGUAGGAGAGCGUUCCGUAAGCCUGCGAAGGUGCCUUGUAAAGGGUGCUGGAGGUAUCGGAAGUGCGAAUGCUGACAUGAGUAGCGAUAAAGGGGGUGAAAGGCCCCCUCGCCGUAAGCCCAAGGUUUCCUACGCAACGUUCAUCGGCGUAGGGUGAGUCGGCCCCUAAGGCGAGGCAGAAAUGCGUAGCUGAUGGGAAGCAGGUCAAUAUUCCUGCACCAUUGUUAGAUGCGAUGGGGGGACGGAUCGCGGAAGGUUGUCCGGGUGUUGGAAGUCCCGGUCGCUGCAUUGGAGAAGGCGCUUAGGCAAAUCCGGGCGCGUAAUUCAAGGGUGUGGCGCGAGCUCCUUAGGGAGCGAAGCAAUUGGAAGUGGUUCCAAGAAAAGCCUCUAAGCUUCAGUCUAACGAUGACCGUACCGCAAACCGACACAGGUGGGCGAGAUGAGUAUUCUAAGGCGCUUGAGAGAACUCGGGAGAAGGAACUCGGCAAAUUGGUACCGUAACUUCGGGAUAAGGUACGCCCUUGUAGCUUGACCAGCCUGCGCUGGAAGGGUGAAGGGGUUGCAAUAAACUGGUGGCUGCGACUGUUUAAUAAAAACACAGCACUCUGCAAACACGAAAGUGGACGUAUAGGGUGUGACGCCUGCCCGGUGCCGGAAGAUUAAAUGAUGGGGUGCAAGCUCUUGAUUGAAGUCCCGGUAAACGGCGGCCGUAACUAUAACGGUCCUAAGGUAGCGAAAUUCCUUGUCGGGUAAGUUCCGACCUGCACGAAUGGCGUAACGAUGGCCACACUGUCUCCUCCCGAGACUCAGCGAAGUUGAAGUGUUUGUGAUGAUGCAAUCUACCCGCGGCUAGACGGAAAGACCCCAUGAACCUUUACUGUAGCUUUGCAUUGGACUUUGAACCGAUCUGUGUAGGAUAGGUGGGAGGCUAUGAAACCGGAACGCUAGUUUCGGUGGAGCCGUCCUUGAAAUACCACCCUGGUUUGUUUGAGGUUCUAACCUUGGCCCGUGAUCCGGGUCGGGGACAGUGCAUGGUAGGCAGUUUGACUGGGGCGGUCUCCUCCCAAAGCGUAACGGAGGAGUACGAAGGUACGCUAGGUACGGUCGGAAAUCGUGCUGAUAGUGCAAUGGCAUAAGCGUGCUUAACUGCGAGACCGACAAGUCGAGCAGGUGCGAAAGCAGGUCAUAGUGAUCCGGUGGUUCUGUAUGGAAGGGCCAUCGCUCAACGGAUAAAAGGUACUCUGGGGAUAACAGGCUGAUACCGCCCAAGAGUUCAUAUCGACGGCGGUGUUUGGCACCUCGAUGUCGGCUCAUCUCAUCCUGGGGCUGUAGCCGGUCCCAAGGGUAUGGCUGUUCGCCAUUUAAAGAGGUACGUGAGCUGGGUUUAAAACGUCGUGAGACAGUUUGGUCCCUAUCUGCCGUGGGCGUUGGAUAUUUGAAGGGGGCUGCUCCUAGUACGAGAGGACCGGAGUGGACGAACCUCUGGUGUACCGGUUGUCACGCCAGUGGCAUCGCCGGGUAGCUAUGUUCGGAAGAGAUAACCGCUGAAAGCAUCUAAGCGGGAAACUCGCCUUAAGAUGAGAUAUCCCUGGGGACUAGAUCCCCUUGAAGGGUCGUUCGAGACCAGGACGUUGAUAGGUCAGGUGUGUAAGCGCAGUAAUGCGUUCAGCUAACUGAUACUAAUUGCCCGUAAGGCUUGAUCCUAUAACA
rnacentral:rRNA from 1 species